UGAACGCUGGCGGCGUGCUUAACACAUGCAAGUCGAACGAGAAAGUCUUUGCUUGCAAAGACGAGUAGAGUGGCGCACGGGUGAGUAACACGUAGAUAAUCUACCUUCAAACCUGGAAUAACUAUUCGAAAGGGUAGCUAAUACCGGAUAAAGUUUAUUGACAUAAGCUGAUAAAUGAAAGAUUGCCUCUUCUUGAAAGCAAUUGUUUGGAGAUGAGUCUGCGGACCAUUAGCUUGUUGGUGGGGUAAAGGCCUACCAAGGCUGCGAUGGUUAGCUGGUCUGAGAGGAUGAUCAGUCACACUGGAACUGGAACACGGUCCAGACUCCUACGGGAGGCAGCAGUGAGGAAUUUUGCGCAAUGGGGGAAACCCUGACGCAGCAACGCCGCGUGAGUGAAGAAGGCCUUUGGGUCGUAAAGCUCUGUCAACUGGGAAGAAGUUAUAUAUGUCCAAUAGGCAUAUGUAUUGACGGUACCAGUGGAGGAAGCGCCGGCUAACUCC
rnacentral:rRNA from 1 species